rnacentral:rRNA from 1 species
AUACGGAGGGUGCGAGCGUUGUUCGGAAUUACUGGGCGUAAAGGGCGCGUAGGCGGCACUGUAAGUCAGAUGUGAAAGUCCAGGGCUUAACCCUGGAAGUGCAUCUGAUACUGCAGAGCUUGAGUAUCGGAGGGGAAAGUAGAAUUCCCGGUGUAGAGGUGAAAUUCGUAGAUAUCGGGAGGAAUACCGGUGGCGAAGGCGACUUUCUGGACGAAUACUGACGCUCAUGCACGAAAGCGUGGGUAGC